UAAUUUUGCACUAGUUUGCAAGCUAAAUCUAUAUUUUUUUUCAUAGUUCUUCUUAAUUCGAUUGAUGGGUAUUUCACAUGUUUGACAUAGGUAUCUGACAUAUAAACUAUGGCGGAAUUGCUGUUCUUUCUUAUACUUCCUGUGGACAACGCCUAUUUACUGGACUAAAUAAAAUUUGAUCUUACCUCUUAGAAAAAAAUUGCUACUUUUCUAGGGAUCGUUAUUUUUGUUUGGUAUAAUGCUUUGCCGAGACCGACGAUGCAAGGAGUACAAGGAAUGAGGAUGUUAGGAACGCUCGGUUCGAGCUCGCCACAAUUCGGCCCAGUAGGGUUGCAGCGCACCACCAACAGAGACCUGUCCUUAGAACGCCACUUACCCCAGCUACCUUUUUCCUUUGACGUAAAAAGGAAUCUGCAAGGGCAUGGCCUUUUGAGACUCUCAUGAUCUUAUCAAUGGGAUCAUGACAUGGUUGAUGUCUGGAUCACCAAAUACAUCGCAAAGUAUGCAAUCUGUUAAUCAGCCAUGGUUGAUGUCUGGAUCACAAGGAAAGCCUCCUUUAUCAUCCCCUUCAAAUAGGCAUCCAGUAAAUUCACAGAUGCAACGACGUGCACAUGUUCCUUAACAACAGCAUCAUGUGCUGCCAACAGCUGCACAGUAACAACAUCUGUAGUCUUUGCAGCAGCAACAAUCUUCACCAUCAAAUCAGUCACAGGAGCUGUACGGUCAGCAAUUUGUACCUCCAAUAGUCCUGCAAAAUGUGACCCAUCAGCAGCAGCUUACAAGGGUUCAUGGCUCUGUAAAUCAGAAGCUUUCCUCUCAUGCAAUGGUACGACAUAACACAGAGAAUAGAGCAGCUAUUGUGGAAACUGAUGAAUCCUAUAAUAGGAUUCUUAGCAAAAGAAACAUCCACGACCUAGUUAGCCAGGUUCACCUUGAUAUUGUCAUUUGUGCUGAGCAUUGCGUAUCAUCAACCCAUAUCUUCUCUUCUCCACCAUAUGAAGCUGCUCAAUGAUGGAAAAGCGGGAAAAGUUUAAGAUUUUCGCAAGAAUUCAUGUGUUUGCACAUGUAUGUGAUCAAUGAAUUGAAAUGGUGUUGGGUCAUGUGGUUUGGACAAGUAACAUGUGCACUCGAUGAGAGAUUUCAUGCCUUUUUUAAUGUGCUCCCCAACUUUUAAAAUGCAGAUUAGUUUAUUAAAUAAAGCCCAGUGCGUACUGGUGAAGAGCAUUAUCUUCCUCAUUUUUGGCUAAAGAAUGCCUGUAAAAGGGAAACCAGGUUUAUCACCAAGGUGCGCUGCCCAGCCUUCACUUUUCUGGGUUUUCCGUUUAGUUACUAUUGGGGUCUGCGAUUCUGGAUGCACCAUUUUUACAGUCUGAAAGAUUGUUUAUCUUGUACCUUUUUUAACAGAUUCUAAC